rnacentral:misc_RNA from 1 species
AAGCUUUAGCUUGUCAAGCUGGAGAAAAGCACCCAUCAUCCAUCAUUUGGAAUAAGAGAAUAAGCUUCCAUUGAAAUAGGUGAUAGACUAAUUGAAGCAUAAGGAAGCUUUCAACCCACCUGUUGAAGCCACAAUUCCAAAUAGGAAAGAGGACCUUAAUAAUUGCAAAAACACAGCUCCAUUUUGGUAACAGCAGGGAGAGGUGGAAGGUAGAGCUCUACUGCAUUAUCGUAACUUUAAGGCUCAGCAACCAUUAGAGAAGGGCCGGCGAAAAUACCCCGACGUGUCAUUUCAUAAAUGCUAAAAUAGAGUGCUCUCUCCCUCAGUAAAAUACCCAAACACAUAAUAUCUACCUCUGCAAAUUCAUAGAUAAACCUUUAACAAAAAGAGACUUGAACCUCUAACAAGAAGUUGUAGAACUUACAUGUAAGCCCUAAACCAUAAACAAAGCAGAUCAAAGAGAACUCCUCUCUAUUUGACCAUCAAAUUUGCCGCAAAACACAAGGAUUUU